rnacentral:rRNA from 1 species
GAAGGAUGAUUAGGUUAAAGAUGGAAAGAGAAGAAUUAAGUGUGGAAAGGGCUUUAAUGAAUGAGUAUAUGAGUUUGGGAAGGGGUAAGGGGAGUUCGGAGGGUAGGGGGAAAUUAGUGGAUAUAGGAGGAAAGGAAGGGAGGAAGGGAAAUGAGUGGUCCUUUAAUGAGGUGAGGUGGGUGAGCCUAGGGAGCAAACAGGAAUAGAUGACGUGGAUAGAAGACGAAUAAGAGAGGAAGGUUAAGCGGUAGGCAGUAUACUGUUCGGUGGGGCAGCUAAGCAUUAAACAUUCCGCCUAGGGAGUACGGUCGCAAGGUUAGAAUCAAAAGAAUUGAAAGGGGGCCGCGCAAGCGGGGGAGCAUGUGGUUUAAUUUGAAGCAACAAGCAAAACCUAACCAGAUAUAGACAUUGGGGGUAUGGGCAUUAGAGACGAUGUCAUUGAGUUAGGCUGGGCCAGAACAGGUGGUGCAUGGCAGAGGGGAGGGUCGAGUCGUGAGAUGUAAGAGUAAAUCAAACAACGAACGCAAACAUCGCCAUAAGUUAGCAGCAUUUAGUUGGGCACUUUAAGGGGACUGCCGGGGAUAAGCCGAGAGGAAGGUGGGGAUGACGUCAAGUCAUCAUGGCCCUUACGGGCUGGGUAACACACGAGCUACAAUGGUGGUGACAGUGGGCAGCGAGACAGCGAUGUCGAGCUAAUCUCCAAAAGCCAUCUCAGUUCCGAUCGCACUCUGCAACUCGAGUGCAUGAAGUUGGAAUCGCUAGUAAUCGCAGAUCAGCAUGGUGCGGUGAAUACGUUCCCGGGCCUUGUGCACACCGCCCGUCGCACCAAUUUUUAUGUUUUACCCGAAGGUAGUCCGCAAUCCUCAGAGAGCAUCCACUGAGUUAUAAGAGAGUCACGGUAGAUCAGCGCCUGGAGUGGGCUCGAUCGAGGAACCUAAUCCUUCCUCUAUCUCUUCCCACAUUUAACCCCCACCCCCAACACU